UACAGAGGUCUCACGCGUUGUUCGGAAUCACUGGGCGUAAAGGGUGCGUAGGCGGCACGGUAAGUCAGAGGUGAAAUCCCGGAGCUCAACUUCGGAAUUGCCUCCGAUACUGCCGUGCUUGAGGACUGGAGAGGAGAUUGGAAUUCACAGUGGAGCAGUGAAAUGCGUAGAUAUUGUGAGGAACACUAGUGGCGAAGGCGAAUCUCUGGACAGUUCCUGGCGCUGAGGCACGAAGGCCAGGGGAGCAAACGGG
rnacentral:rRNA from 1 species